AUUGAACGCUGGCGGAAUGCUUUACACAUGCAAGUCGAACGGCAGCACGGACUUCGGUCUGGUGGCGAGUGGCGAACGGGUGAGUAAUGUAGCGGAACGUGCCCAGUCGUGGGGGAUAACGUAGUGAAAAUUACGCUAAUACCGCAUACGAUCUAUGGAUGAAAGCGGGGGAUCGCAAGACCUCGCGCGAUUGGAGCGGCCGAUAUCAGAUUAGGUAGUUGGUGGGGUAAAGGCCCACCAAGCCAACGAUCUGUAGCGGGUCUGAGAGGACGACCAGCCCCACUGGAACUGAGACACGGUCCAGACUCCUACGGGAGGCAGCAGUGGGGAAUUUUGGACAAUGGGCGAAAGCCUAAUCCAGCCAUUCCGCGUGCAGGAUGAAGGCCCUCGGGUUGUAAACUGCUUUUGUACAGAACGAAAAGGUUUCUACUAAUACUAGGAGCUCAUGACGGUACUGUAAGAAUAAGCACCGGCUAACUACGUGCCAGCAGCCGCCGUAA
rnacentral:rRNA from 1 species